UCAGUCGUCAAAGUUCCCAUAGCCUGCUGGAGACUCUGCACAUCUCGGCUGAUCCCCGUGGUGGUGGUGAAAAUCUGCCUCAAAACCUGAUUGUCCAUAUCAACCUGGGGUGGUGGUGGAGGAAUUUGAGGCAUGUCAAGGUCUGCAUCUGCUUGACCUUCCUCAUUCAAUUGCUGUCGUCGUCGUGCGUUUUCUAAUUUCUGUUGGUGCUUCAGUCUUGCUCGAUCU
rnacentral:lncRNA from 1 species